ACAACUCUAACGGUGGAUCUCUUGGCUCGUGCAU
rnacentral:rRNA from 2 species